CAUGAAGCCGGAAUUGCUAGUAAUGGCAGGUCAGCAUACUGCCGUGAAUACGUUCCCGGGCCUUGUACACACCGCCCGUCACACCAUGAGAGUUGGGGAUACCCAAAGCCCGUGAGCCAACUGUAAAGAGGCAGCGGUCUAAGGUAGAAUCAAUGAUUGGGGUGAAGUCGUAACAAGGUAAC
rnacentral:rRNA from 1 species